AGAGUUUGAUCCUGGCUCAGAAUCAACGCUGGCGGCGCGCUUAACACAUGCAAGUCGAACGAGAAAGCCCGCAAGGGUGAGUACAGUGGCGCACGGGUGAGUAACACGUGGGUAAUCUGCCCUUGACAUCGGGAUAGCCCGGGGAAACCCGGAUUAAUACCGAAUAGCCUCCGAAGCCCUCGGGCGUCGGAGAAAAGGUAGCUUCGGCCUCUGGUCAAGGAUGAGCCCGCGGCGGAUUAGCUUGUUGGCGGGGUAACGGCCCACCAAGGCGACGAUCCGUAGCUGGUCUGAGAGGACGAUCAGCCACACUGGGACUGAGACACGGCCCAGACUCCUACGGGAGGCAGCAGUGGGGAAUCUUGCGCAAAUGCGGGAAACCGUGACGCAGCGACGCCGCGUGGGGGAAGAAGGCCUUCGGGUUGUAAACCUCUUUCAGGAGGGACGAAGCUACUCGGGUUAAUAGCCCAGAGGGUGACGGUACCUCCAGAAGAAGCCCCGGCUAACUACGUGCCAGCCGCCGCGGUAAUUC
rnacentral:rRNA from 1 species